CCUACGGGUGGCAGCAGUGAGGAAUAUUGGUCAAUGGGCGCUAGCCUGAACCAGCCAAGUAGCGUGAAGGAUGACUGCCCUAUGGGUUGUAAACUUCUUUUAUUUGGGAAUAAAGUGCAGUAUGUAUACUGCUUUGCAUGUACCUUAUGAAUAAGGAUCGGCUAACUCCGGGCCAGCAGCCGCGGUAAUACGGAGGAUGCGAGCGUUAUCCGGGUUUAUUGGGUUUAAAGGGAGCGUAGGCGGGUUGUUAAGUCAGUUGUGAAAGUUUGCGGCUCAACCGUAAAAUUGCAGUUGAUACUGGCAGCCUUGAGGGCAGUAAGGGUAGGCGGAAAUCGUGGUGUAGCGGUGAA
rnacentral:rRNA from 1 species